AAAAUUGGGCUAAAUCACCCAUAGUUUUUGUAACACCCCAAUAAUCCCGCAUUGGGUGAGAAAAUAAUUCUGAUUAGAAUAUAUGAGGCAUACAUGCUAGUAAAAAUAACUGGGCUUAAGCAGUUUGAGCCGGUGGUUUUGGGUCCAACGAGUUAUUGAUGCUAGCGGGUCAGAUCAUUGCAAUUGGUAUCAGAGCCGAAAACCAGCCGGAAGUGUAAGAGCUAAGUGCUAUGCGGGGCAAAAUGCUACACCAACGGAUUUGGUGGGAGCCACCUCUUGAACCCAUAGGAGCUACCUCUAGAAUUAAUCUCACGUCGCCUGAUAAUUCUGGUCUGUAUCUGUGAUCUGAUUUGGACCGAACGAGAACAUCAGGGUCUAAACAGGGGGAGUUUGUAAUGCCCCAAUAGUCCCACAUUGGGUGGAAAAAUGAUUCUGAUUAGAAUAUAUGAGACCUACACGAUAGUAAUAAUAAUUGGGCUUAAGUAUUUCGAACCAGUGGUUUUGGGCCCAACGAGUUAUUGUUGCUAGCGGGUCCGGUCGUUACAAUUAGUAUUAGAGACGAAUACCAGCCAAAAGUAUGAGAGCAAAGUGUUAUGCGGGACACAAUACUACAUCAACAAAUUUGGUGAGAGCCAACUCUUGAACUCGUAGGAACCCCAAUAAUCCCACAUCGGAUGGGAAAGAAGUUUUGAUUUGGUAUAUAAGAGACCUCCACGCUAGUAAUAAUAACUGGGCUUAUUGUUGCUAGCAGGUCGGGGUUACAAUUGAUAUCAGAGCCGAAUACCAGCCGAAAGUGUGAGAGCUAAGUGUUAUGCAGGGCAAAGUGCUACACCAAUGGAUUUAGUAGGAGACACCUCUUGAACUCGUAGAAGUCACCUCUAGAAUCUCAUAUCGCCUAGUAAUUCUGGUCUAUAUCUGUGAUAUAGUUUGGACCCGACGAAAACGUCAAGGUCUAAACAGGGGGAGUUUGUAAAAAUAAUUCUGAUUACAAUAUAUAAGGCCUCCAUGCUAGUAAUAAUAACUGGACUUAAGUAUUUUGGGCCGGUGGUUUCGGCCCAACGAGUUAUUGUUGCUAAGAGGUCGAAUCGUUACAAUUGAUAUCAGAGCCGAAUACCAGCUAAAAAUGUGAGAGCUAAGUGCUAUGCAGAACAAAGUGCUACACCAAUGGAGCUACACCAACGGAUUUGGUGGGAGCCACCUCUUGAACCCGUAAGAGCUACCUCUAGAAUCUCACAUCACCUGAU
rnacentral:lncRNA from 1 species